UUCCUCGCCCAGAUGCUCUCUGAUAAGGCUGUUACUGAUGUUCCAGUAUGGAACUUAAAUUGAAGGAUUGGUGGGUUUCGUUGGAGAAAAACGAGGCAUGUGAUCCCAUUCGGUUGUCCUGCAGCAGCUUUCUGUUUGGCAAAUACUGUUAUAGUAAGGAUUGUGUAGGACUGACAGCCAAUCACAGCUGACCGUUUGCUCCCCACCUCCUUUGGAGAGUUCCUCCUCGCAGUCAUUGGCCAACAUGUUGUGUUGUUAUUGCGUAAGUGAAGCCUGUCAGAGAGCAAAGUUAUGAAGGAAGAUGAAACUGGUUGGAGGCCAGUUGGGGCCACAACAUGGAGAAACGAGCAGCGGAUGAAAACUACGUGUCCUUGAACCCGAGGAAAGACAAACAGGGUCACGUGGGUCGGCUGAGGGCACAUCCCAGCCGUCACUGGGUGAAAGGCAGCGUACACCAUGUACAGGAUGUCAUAGGACUUAUGAGAAUCCCACACGCAUGAUUUAACUUCUUUAGAGAAAUUACAAACAUGGAGAAAAGGCCUCAAAAGGCCUCUAAGCAUGUAAGCUGUAUGUUUAGUGUUUAUCAGACUUUCACAAUAAAAGCUGAUGGACGAGAUGAGAUCCAAAACAUUUUAUGACAUUUUUACUGCAAGUGGAAUUUGUUGUUGUUUUUACAUUCUUUGACUUAUCUUAUCUAUGUUUCAGGCUAUGUCAUUACACUCAGUAGUUGUUAUUCAUGAAAUGAUGUUAACAUGGCUCCUUAAAAGUUGAAUGUGAAACUACAAAAUGUUUUACUUUUAGAAUAAAUACUUUUGGGCUAAAACCAGUUUCUUUCACACAAUUUCUACACAAAAGCACCAGUAAAUAAAACCCGUUUGAGUUAUUAUUGGUAGAUUGUUGGUGGUUUAUUGUGUUAAAGCACAAAUAAAGUG